rnacentral:rRNA from 1 species
AUGCUUUUGGUGCGAAUGCUUAUGCGGCAGAUCAUGCACAUUCUAAGGAAAACAGUUUUGGUGAAAGUGCUUAUGCGGUGCAUUGGGAUCCUCAUUCUUAAAAAGACAGUUUUGGUGAAAGUGCUUAUGCGGUGCAUUGGGAUCCUCCUUCUCGUAAAAAAAGACAGUUUUGGUGUAAGUGCUUAUGCGGUGCAUUGGGAUCCUCCUUCUCAAGAAGGAGGUUUUGGGGGAAGUGCUUAUAAGGUGGAUUGGAACCCAGAAGAUGCACUCUCGAAAGUAAAAGGUUUUGGGGCAAGUGCGAAUAAGGUGGACUGGAACCCAGAACAUGCACCUUCGAAAGAAAAAGGUUUUGGGGCUAGUGAUUACAAGGUGGAUUGGAACCCAGAAGAUGGACAUUCCGGCUUUGGGGCAAGUGCAUAUAAGGUAUCUUGGAGCCCAGAUGGUGCACCUUCUGAAAAAAAGGGUUUUGACGCAAGUGCUUAUGCGGUACAUUGGGAUCCAAAUCAUGCACACUCUCCUUCCUCCAUUACUGACGCACCAGCAAAACAUAGGCAUAUAAAAGUUCAAACCGGCAUGUUAUUCCUGAAGAAGAAUCUGCACAUCGGCACUACACUUCCUAAAGGAACCAUGUUUGCACGAGAUGGUGCACCAAAGUCUGUUCAUUUUGCCUCUACUCCACUGGAGUCAAAGUACUUGACAACCAUCCUUUCGCAUUUCAUGAUACCUCACGGCUCGACGAAGGCAAAGCAGGUAGCUGACACCCUUUGUUCAUGCGGCAAACCGGUUGACAAGGAGGAGCCUCACAUGUGCUUCUCAUCUCGUGAAGCAAUGUCAAGGUUCGCCACCAGAGAAUUAGGGGUCAGCGGCGCACGAGCAGCCAUUACAAGGAUUCAUGGAAAUGAGACCCCCAACUCCAUGUACGUUGUGGAACAGGUCACCCAACUCAACAAUAACGUGGUGCCAUGCCAUCCUAUGGAUUUUCCGUAUGAGGUCUUUUAUUGCCAUCUGCCGAAAGAGGUGCAGUCUUUGAGGGUGCAACUCAAGGGUUUGAAAGAUGGCAUGCCGCACGUGACGGCAAUAGCUAUGUGUCACAUGAACACAUCUAAUUGGGACACCCAGUACUUUGAGCUAUUAGAUGGAAAGCGUGGUGAACCUAUUUGCCACUACAUGCCUACCAAUUAUAUCAUGUUUUAUUAG